GCUGAGCAAUAUUGUGAUUGUCUGUGUGUGUGUUGUGUCUCAACUAGUAAUACUGAGAUAAAUUUUAUUGUGGGAGUAACCGAGAGUCAUCACCAACACAUAGAGCACAGAGAUUUUUGAAUAAAACUGGCUGUAUGUUAGCAAAAUAUCUCACGAGUUUUAUGRAACCUCCCCAUGGCAGCUGCAGCUAGCCAAGAUUAUCAAACACAAAAAAGGACUAUCUCAAUUGUAUAGACGCUGAACUGAAAAAUGGUGUUGUAGUGGCUGAGAGUCAUCCACAACACAAUCCUCUGAUUUGCUAAGGAUCUCGUAAUAUUAUGUGAAAAGGUGUGUAAUAUGUUUAUUAUCUGUGUCUCAUCACUGUWAGGUCAUCUGACCAUCCAGUUGUAAAGCAUCAGCUGAUGACUUCAGGGUGUCAUGUGAGGCAUUAACAUGUCGGCAGCUCCACAAAAUGUGGUCACCUUCAAGAAGAAGGCAAGGAAUGUAUCUUAAACUUCCUCCUCCUCCUCCUCUUCAGUCAUGGGGUUCUCCGCUGGGUAAUCACAUACCAAAAAAAAAAAAAAAAAAAGACAAGAAGUUCUACCUCUCUCCUCUCCAGGCAGGGACUGCUCCUUGGGUGUUGUUAAGCCAACAGAAAUGAAAGGGGAGCAAACCGGAAACAGGAGGCCCACAUGUGUAUUGAGAAUAAAAGCAUUCAGAAAUGGAUGUGCAGGAGUUUUUCACCAAUGCCAAAAUGUGUGACUUAAACUACAUGACAGGGUGCAGAUGGUGUUGGAUGCCAGCAUGGGAACCUCAAGACUUCUCAGAGGAACUGGAGUCCAGCCUUUUCAGUCACUAUCCAGAGUGAACCACUCUAGAGAAARCUGGAGAUAACAAUCUGAUGAAACCAAUAGGACUACAUCAUCUGCAAAAAGCAGAGACACGAUCUUAAGGUCACUGAUAGAGUUUUAUUGAAUUUAUUAAACUUCUUAAGGUGUUUCAAAUAAAGUCUUGAGGUACGUGACAAAUGUAUUAUUCAUCAUGGCGUGUCCACAGAGUGCAGCAGACAGAAAAUGCUCUAAAGCAGAGCUGGUAAGACAAAACAAGUCUGUGUUGUUUUUACUAUUAUUCACAUAUUAAACCCCAGCAACAAGUGUUUUGAUUGGUUCCUAUGCCUAUGACAAACCACAUAACUGAUCUCUGAUUUGUUGUAACAUUGUGUGACUUCAUUCCUACGUGUGUGAAUAAAACGACUGUUCACGCCCCCAGAGGUCAGAACUUCUCUGUGCUUCACUGUGCUUUCGAGCAGAGUUAAGUAUCUCAGAAUUUCUCCUUUGCAAAGUGAAACAAAAAAAUC